UACGAGGGGGGCGAGCGUUGUUCGGAAUUAUUGGGCGUAAAGGGUGCGUAGGCGGUUCCGCAAGUCCUGUGUGAAAUCUUCGGGCUCAACUCGAAGUCUGCACGGGAAACUGCGGGGCUUGAGUGUGGGAGAGGUGAGUGGAAUUCCCGGUGUAGCGGUGAAAUGCGUAGAUAUCGGGGAGGAACACCUGUGGCGAAAAGCGGCUCACUGGACCAUAACUGACGCUGAUGCACGAAAGCUGGGGGGAGCAAACAGG
rnacentral:rRNA from 1 species